UGGAGCAAUCCAUGAGUAAAGUGGCGACCGGGUGAGUAACACGUGACUAACCUACCUCCAAGUGGGGAAUAACUCCGGGAAACCGGGGCUAAUACCGCAUAACAUCGCAAGAUCAAAGCAGCAAUGCGCUGGGAGAGGGGGUCGCGGCUGAUUAGCUAGUUGGCGGGGUAACGGCCCACCAAGGCGAAGAUCGGUAUCCGGCCUGAGAGGGCGCACGGACACACUGGAACUGAAACACGGUCCAGACUCCUACGGGAGGCAGCAGUGGGGAAUUUUGCGCAAUGGGGGAAACCCUGACGCAGCAACGCCGCGUGGAGGAUGAAGCCCUUUGGGGCGUAAACUCCUUUCGACCAAGACGAUAAUGACGGUACUGGUGGAAGAAGCACCGGCUAACUCUGUGCCAGCAGCCGCGGUAAUACAGAGGGUGCAAGCGUUGUUCGGAAUUAUUGGGCGUAAAGGGCGCGUAGGC
rnacentral:rRNA from 1 species